GUCACAGCCGGUCGGAGCCCCAUCCGCCGGUGAUGUAAAGCCGGGGAUGUUGUGCAGCCCCCGCUGACAGAGCCAUCCCAUUCCGCAGCCUGGCUGUAAGCCCUCCAUAUGGCCAUGUGAUUGCUGCUGCUGCUGCUUCACGUGAUCCAGCUUUCUGGCACAAAGGCUCGGAGCUCGUACAGAUGAUUGUUAAACAUCAUGAGACUCUGCAAGUGAAUCUCUUGAAGAAAAGCUUGAAAGCCUCGAUGCUGAAGAUCUCAUGUCUCAUCUGUCACGACCAGAAACCUACCUAGAUGAGGAGAAAAGAUCAAGGAAGUAAAACUGACCAAACUACGGGACUGACAAGGUUAAGUAUUGUGUUGCUCUAGGGGAAGGAAGGUGUUAGAGAUGCUGCAGAGCCUCAGACAGAUAUUGGUGCUGGGAAGGAGAAUGCUACACAGAAGACAUUGCCAUGAGUUGAUAAAGCGAGGAGUCUGGGACAAACCACGUGAGACAGAGAGAUGUGGACUGGGAGGGCUAGGCAACUCUUUAACCAGCAGAUUUCAGAUUUUUACAUACUGGCUGGAAAGGAUCUGAGAUUCUACCAGGUAUACCACCAGCUUGGCAGCACAGGAGAAGAAAUGGUUAUGGGCUCUGCUCGUAAGGAAGAGACUACUUCAUUUGGAAAUGCUGUAGGUUAGUGCUUCAUUCUGCAAUUUACAGCCAAUGACUGAGCAGAAAGCUUUUAUAUCCCAAGAAGCUUUAAAAUAAAGCAGUUUCAGUUGUAUCAGGUUCCCGCUCAAGUUCAUGUGACAGUACUUAGGCUGCCUGUCUUGGUGACAGUAUGAAUUUAUACAGAGACAGAAGCAAUCAGAUCAUAUAGUUUUCAAG